UAGGUCCCAAGGGUUGGGCUGUUCGCCCAUUAAAGUGGUACGCGAGCUGGGUUCAGAACGUCGUGAGACAGUUCGGUCCCUAUCCGUCGCAGGCGUAGGAAAUUUGAGAAGACCUGUCCUUAGUACGAGAGGACCGGGAUGGACGUACCUCUGGUGUACCAGUUGUUCUGCCAAGGGCAUGGCUGGGUAGCUAUGUACGGAAUGGAUAAGCGCUGAAAGCAUCUAAGCGCGAAGCCAACUUCAAGAUAAGAUUUCCCACCGCAAGGGUAAGACCCCAGAAAGACUAUCUGGUUGAUAGGUCGAAGGUGUAAGUGCAGCAAUGUAUUUAGCUUAUCGAUACUAAUAGGUCGAGGACUUGACCAAAUU
rnacentral:rRNA from 1 species